rnacentral:rRNA from 1 species
GACGAACGCUGGCGGCGUGCUUAACACAUGCAAGUCGAACGGUGAAAGGGAGCUUGCUCCCUGGAUCAGCGGCGAACGGGUGAGUAACACGUGGGCAACCUGCCCCAGACUUCGGGAUAACGCUUCGAAAGGAGUGCUAAUACCGGAUACGCACUCCUUGGGCAUCCUUGGGGUUGGAAAGUUUUUCGGGCUGGGAUGGGCUCGCGGCCUAUCAGCUUGUUGGGGAGGUAAGGGCCAACCACGGCGACGACGGGUAGCCGGCCUGGGAGGGCGGCCGGCCACACUGGUACUGCGGGACGGCGCAGACUCCGACGGGAGGCAGCAGAGGGGAAUAGUGCGCAGUGAGCGAAAGCCUGACGCAGCAGCGCCGCGUGAGUGAUGACGGCCUUCGGGUUGUAAACCUCUGUCAGCAGGGAAGUAGCGAAAGUGACGGUACCUGCAGAAGAAGCACCGGCUAACUACGUGCCAGCAGCCGCGGUAACAC